UUUACGUGCUUCUAACACGCUCGUACAAUUUUUAGAUCCAAUUCACCAUUUGAGUAAACGCAGCACAACCGGUGUUCAGAUUCUUAGUUUGAACGUGGAAGGUCACUCUGAAUGCAAAUGCGAGUGCGCAGUAACCCAGAGAAUGUGUACCCUGGAUCAUAACAAAGUGCUCAACAAAGAUUAUUGUCAAUGUGAAUGUCCAGUUGUUCAGAACUGUACACUGCCAUUUCAGGUAAAUAUACGGUACACUAUUUUUAAAUGCUUAAGGGACUUCCGCAAUGGAUCUUCACCCAGCUAUUUAUCAAAUAUUUCCGAUGAAAGUUUCCGGAAGAUUAUCUAUCCCAGCCCCGACGCGAUUAUAUUAGAGAGGUUCAGAUUUACUUCCACUACCGCUACCUCUCAUUGGCGUACGUAGUAUGCAUCUGAUUGGUUAAUUGGAUAUAUCAAAUACAUCUGAUUGGUUAAUGGUCACCUAAUGCUCAAAUCUGAACCUCACUAAUUAUUCUGCUGCUUCAUUUCGCGAGGCAAAGUGCUUAAUUACCUUAAAAUUGUUUAUUACGCUGUUCAGUAUGACGGAAUUCUGCAGCGAAUUCUCUCCAAGGUCCGGUUAUGCAAAGCUGGAUUAGCGUUAACCCUGGGUUAAAAUUUAACCUACUAUUUUAGCUUCUGUAUUUCUGCACAUCUGUUUGUUUCAAAACUUCAGAGAAGAAAACUCUCAUUGAUCCACACAAGACUUCUGAAGAAAUAUUUCCAAGUUUACUGUACAUAUAAACAAGUUGUUGGGAAGUUUGCUUUGAAUUUCAAGACGUAGGGUUAAGCUAACCGGCUUUUGAACAACCGCCCCAGAAUCGGAAAUGCCAGAAAUACAGUCAUGGAGAUUUUGCAGUAUCACCCCUGGACUCCACUAUUUUUUUCGAAUUUUGAGAUGCUAUUAUUGCAAUUUUAAAAUUGGUGUUUACAUUACAAUGAGAGCGUUGCACAGCCAAUCCGGCACAAUACGCACCAUUUUGAAGAGCUGCACCGGCGCUUCGAUGCAGAAAUUGAUACGAUUACAUAAUUUCAUAUGUAAACACAAGCCUUAUCCGGUAGGGUUUUUGCGUCGCUACGCAAGCUAUCCGACACAAUGUAAACAUACUGUUACAUGUAUAUCAGUAAGAAGUGUCCCUCCACGAAAAUCUGUCACCACAAAGCCCUGCCCUCUUGUGCUUAAACCGUCCCCUCUGUAUCGUAACAACAGGGAUAGAUUUACUGGGGGUUGUAGGGGGUACUCAUCCCUCCUAGUCUUGCCUAGACUUGCUCCAAGUCUCUCUUUCAUUGUCAUAUAGUAUCGAUCCACUAUAGUGUACAUUACAUGACGUAGCACGGAGAGGCGGAGCGAGAAAGAGAGACUUGUCAACUUCGGAAAAUCUCGGUUCAAAACUGAACCAAAAAUGCAAGACUGCCAAGACUUGCUUUAAUUGUUUUCUGUCAGUGUUUAUAUGUAUUGAUCUAGCAUAAUACAGAAAGAAAUUGAAGGAAAACAGUUAAAGCAUUUUCGGUUCAGUUUUGAACCGAGAUUUUCCGAAGUUGACAAGUCUCUCUUUCUCGCUCCGCCCCUCCGUACUACGUCAUGUAAUGUGCACUAUAGUGGAUCGAUACUAUAUGACUCAAUGAAAGAGAGACUUGGAGCAAGUCUAAGUCUUGCCUGAAGGGAUUCAGGGUGAGGAGGGUGCCAAAUCUAUUUCUUGAUUAGGAAAAUGCAACUACAUACAAAAACAAAAUAGAGACAACAUGAGAUAGUAACAUGAUUCUACAGACUAUUGCCUGUAGGUCGCUUUAUUGUGAUUCCGGUUGUUCAAAAAUCGAUUAGCUUAACCCUAGGUUAACCUAAAAUUCAAAGCAAACUUGGCAACAGCUUUUAAUUUUAUAAACUUGGAAGUAUUUCUUCAGAAAUCUUAUCUUGAUCAGUUGGAGUUUUCUUCUCUGAAGUUUGGAAAUAAACAGACGUGCAGAAAUACAUAAACUAAAACAGCAGGUUAAAUUUUAACCGAGGGUUAGCGUUAAUCCAUCCAGCUUUGAACAACCGGCCCCUGAACCGUGACCAAAACUCGAUGAGCACCCCCCCAGGGGCGAGGCUAGAAGAGAAUAUGGGGAGGUGGAAGCCCCCCCCCCUCCCAGUUGUCAAAUAGUCGGCACACUAUUGUGUCCCAGUCGGCAAAUUGUUUUCCAGUUGGCAAAACCUGAAUUAGAUAAGAAGGAAAAAUCUAAAAUAUAGGAGUGAAACUUUCAAUAAACUGAUUAAAAACUAAGAAUUAUAGCUAAACUGUGGGGAAAUUUUUGGUGUUUAGGCGUCACCCCUUCGUAAUUUUGGGAAAAAUUAUUACUUAGCGGACAUUUUUUUAUUAAUAUGCAGUGGAAAUGAUUUGGCAAAUUAUCACUUACAUCCUCCCCUCAUUAAAGUAGGCCUAGCGCCGCCAUUGACCUCCACCCCCACCAGAUCUGGCUGGAUCUAUCCCUGCGCAUCAACACAGAACAAGUUUGCAUCCUGAGUUUUGGCAAAUUUUCAUGACUAAUUUGUUAUUUUCUUAUUUUUGCUUUUUAAAGUGGGACGAAAAUCAAUGCAAGUGUGUAUGUGGUGUAGAUAGAACCGCGAGUGCACGCAGUUGCUACUUUGACGCUCGCGCCAAAGGUAUUUUUAAAAAAUGGAACCAUGACAAAUGUGCCUGUCUGUGUGGGACGACGCUUAAAUGCUCAUCCGUGAAUACGCGUAACACAACCACCUGUAAAUGCCAAUGUGCCGUGAAUGCAAAAUGUCCGACAAACAAGUCCUUACAGUACGCAACCGGGACGAAUGCCGGGAUGUGUUAUUGUAAGUAAAGAAGCUAAUUUGGAAACGAGCAAUAGCAGUAGCAAUAGUAUUAUUACAAGAACGAACACUAUAUUUUAAUUACAAUAACUAUUUCUACAAUAUAUAAACUCUACUGUAUAAAGUAGCUCAUUAGCGGAACGUUUUUACAAUCCAAUAAAUACAUUGUCUCAGGGAAGCCUCACAUAUCGAUUUUGUCCACGAGAAAUGUCAUAUGUUCGUUUCUCCAGAGACCCACACCCCCCCCCCCCUUAGAAACGUCACACAUAGUUACCGAUGUUCUGUUCUUACAGUACACAUAAGGUAAUUUUCUACUAUUUUAUUCGGUCGGCUAUUGGCGAUUCUUCUGUGAGGAAUAUGUCAUCUGCUGGCAUAUGUUUUUUUAUUAAUAUAUGAACUUCAAAAUUUUCAAUGUUUCUCAAAACUGACAAUUUUAGCGCGUUUUUCUUGAAAUUUGAGUGUUUUCAAUGCAAGGAAGGCGUAAUAAUAUAAAUGUAUAGAACAGGUAUGGUUUUACGAAUGUAUAGACUUGCGUUUGUAUCAAAUUGUCUUCUUUUUUAUGUUCUGCAAAGAUGAUUCCGAAAUGUGAAAGGCUUUCGAAAUAACUAUCGAAUUUUUCCAUGAUGUUUUGCAGAGAAACGUCACAGCUGCAACNNNNNNNNNNNNNNNNNNNNCGUUUCUCCUGGACAAAAUAGAUAAACGUAAAAGUAUGAGGACUAAACGUAUUGGGCGCAUGUAUAUCAGGUAAAAUUAAAAAAGUAUACAAUAAAUAAAAUUA
rnacentral:lncRNA from 1 species